AUUGAACGCUGGCGGCAGGCCUAACACAUGCAAGUCGAGCGAGCGGCGGAUGGGUGAGUAAUGUCUGGGAAACUGCCUGAUGGAGGGGGAUCACUACUGGAAACGGUAGCUAAUACCGCCUACCACCAGAUGUGCCCCGAUGGGAUUAGCUAGUAGGUGGGGUAAUGGCUCACCUAGGCGACGAUCCCGAGCUGGUCUGAGAGGAUGACCAGCCACACUGGAACUGAGACACGGUCCAGACUCCUACGGGAGGCAGCAGUGGGGAAUAUUGCACAAUGGGCGCAAGCCUGAUGCAGCCAUGCCGCGUGUAUGAAGAAGGCCUUCGGGUUGUAAAGUACUUUCAGCGAGGAGGCGUUACUCGCAGAAGAAGCACCGGCUAACUCCGUGCCAGCCGCCGCGGUAAUUC
rnacentral:rRNA from 1 species